AUGGCCUCGCGUCUGAUUAGCUAGUUGGUGAGGUAACGGCCCACCAAGGCGACGAUCAGUAGCCGGACUGAGAGGUUGACCGGCCACAUUGGGACUGAGAUACGGCCCAGACUCCUACGGGAGGCAGCAGUGGGGAAUAUUGGGCAAUGGGCGCAAGCCUGACCCAGCAACGCCGCGUGAAGGAAGAAGGCUUUCGGGUUGUAAACUUCUUUUAAGUGGGAAGAGUAGAAGACGGUACCACUUGAAUAAGCCACGGCUAACUACGUGCCAGCAGCCGCGGUAAUACGUAGGUGGCAAGCGUUGUCCGGAUUUACUGGGUGUAAAGGGCGUGCAGCCGGGCAUGCAAGUCAGAUGUGAAAUCUCAGGGCUUAACCCUGAAACUGCAUUUGAAACUGUAUGUCUUGAGUGCCGGAGAGGUAAUCGGAAUUCCUUGUGUAGCGGUGAAAUGCGUAGAUAUAAGGAAGAACACCAGUGGCGAAGGCGGAUUACUGGACGGUAACUGACGGUGAGGCGCGAAAGCGUGGGGAGCGAACAGGAUUAGAUACCCUGGUAGUCCACGCUGUAAACGAUGGAUACUAGGUGUGCGGGGACUGACCCCCUGCGUGCCGCAGUUAACACAAUAAGUAUCCCACCUGGGGAGUA
rnacentral:rRNA from 1 species